GCCCCUAUAGCUCAACGGAUAGAGCAGCGCUCUUCUAAGGCGUUGAUCCGGGUUCGAUUCCUGGUAGGGGCG
rnacentral:tRNA from 3 species